rnacentral:rRNA from 1 species
UACGAAGGGGGCGAGCGUUGUUCGGAAUUACUGGGCGUAAAGGGCGCGUAGGCGGCGACUCAAGUUAGAUGUGAAAGUCCUGGGCUUAACCUGGGGACUGCAUUUGAUACUGGGUUGCUUGAAUUCGGGAGAGGAUAGCGGAAUUCCCAGUGUAGAGGUGAAAUUCGUAGAUAUUGGGAAGAACACCGGUGGCGAAGGCGGCUAUCUGGACCGACAUUGACGCUGAGGCGCGAAAGCCAGGGGAGCAAAGCGGG